rnacentral:lncRNA from 1 species
GUUGGAACAAAAUUGAUUUUAAAAUGUUUGCCCCUAAAUCUAUAAAGGUUUUGAUGAUAACAAAGUAUUAAUAAACAAUUGGAAGGACUAAAAAUUUAUUUUAAGUGCGCAGAUGUAAGCAUCAUACAAGCUCUGAGUGAAGUUCAGAGGAUGUGAAUUCAGAAGUUCACAGACGCUCAGAAGAUGUUGGACUUCAGAAGUUACAAUCUUCAGAGGAUGAAGUCUUCAGAACUUCUUGACUGACUACUAAGCUUCAUCAAAGUCUGAAGAUCUCUUUGAAAGCUGUGAAGAUUCUCUUUGUUAGUCAACUCUUCUACCAAUGAAGAAAAGGACCCUUCAAGCCUGAUCAGCUCAGCUACCCUCAGUUUGUCUGUUCUCUUUUGAGAACGUGGGUUUUCAGUUUUGUUAGCUGAAUAAGGAAAGUCUUCUCUGCUGUAGUCAAAGUAACUGAA